UCCAUUAACUUUGAACGUUUUAAAUAAGCAACCGAAAGCACAUUUGAAUGCAAGUUUCAGGAUGCAUAGAUCAACAGAUGUUAAGAAACUCAAACUGGGAAAUUGUUGCAACCACGUGGAAUAGCCGGUAUGAUAACCUUCUCAAGGGGAAGGAGCUCACUCAGCAGGCCAGGAUCCCGGGGCUCUGGGAGGGCAAUUGCAUUAUGCAGGCAUGGACAACAAACAGGAAGGUAUCCCCCUUGUAAAAUCACCACAAGCCUUCAGAAAUAAGGCUUUAGUUCCUUACAAAGCUGUGCAGACGUGAAACCCUCCUGGGAGAUUGAUGAGUCCUAUUAACCUUGUUGCAUAGAUGGAAACUCAGAAACAAAGUGACUCCGAGGAUUAAGAGGAAGUCAAUGUCAGCACCAGGAUUAGAAUUCACACUUGCCUGGUUUCUCAGCCCACGACCAGCUCCCCCAUGGAUCCCAGCUUUGUCUUCCUCCCCAAGUGAGGGGGCAGGGUGAUU